CCUACGGGGGGCUGCAGUGAGGAAUAUUGGUCAAUGGCCGGAAGGCUGAACCAGCCAAGCCGCGUGAGGGAGGAAGGCGCAGAGCGUCGCAGACCUCUUUUGCCGGGGGACAAAAGGCCGGACUCGUCCGGUCCUGAGGGUACCCGGAGAAAAAGCAUCGGCUAACUCCGUGCCAGCAGCCGCGGUAAUACGGAGGAUGCGAGCGUUAUCCGGAUUUAUUGGGUUUAAAGGGUGCGUAGGCGGACUGGAAAGUCAGCGGUAAAAUCGAGAGGCUCAACCUCUUUCCGCCGUUGAAACUGUCGGUCUUGAGUGGGCGAGAAGUAUGCGGAAUGCGUGGUGUAGCGGUGAAAUGCAUAGAUAUCACGCAGAACUCCGAUUGCGAAGGCAGCAUACCGGCGCCCGACUGACGCUGAGACACGAAAGCGUGGGUAUCGAACAGGAUUAGAUACCCGGGUAGUC
rnacentral:rRNA from 1 species